UCUCCGUAGGUGAACCUGCGGAGGGAUCAUUACAGAGUUCAUGCCCUACCGGGUAGAUUUCCCACCCUAUGUUAUUAUUACUUUGUUGCUUUGGCGGGCCGUUAGGCUCCGGCCCGACUACCGGCCCCGGCUGGUAAGCGCCCGCCAGAGGACCAAAACCCUGAAUAUUAGUGUCGUCUGAGUACUAUAUAAUAGUUAAAACUUUCAACAACGGAUCUCUUGGUUCUG
rnacentral:misc_RNA from 1 species